GCACCUGUAGCUCAAUUGGAUAGAGCAUCAGACUACGGAUCUGAGGGUUUGAGGUUCGACUCCUCACAGGUGCACCA
rnacentral:tRNA from 1 species